rnacentral:rRNA from 1 species
GCCAUAUAUCAAGAAGUCAACUACCAAUACUAUACAAUUUUGAACAAAUAUGUCUAAAUUUUACCUCACAUCUCUCUUGAAAAGAUGAAAAAUUUGAAGAAAAUCAAAACCAGGAUGAACUACUAUUUCUUCCAUCCAAUGAAAAGGUUAGAAACAAAAUUAAUUAAAAACUCUUAGAACUAGUAGAGGUGAGGUUCUUCUGGAUGAACGUCACACAUUAGUCCCUAAAACCAAUCCAGAUCGGUGAGAUGUCCAACUCCCUCCUCCCUGGUGCCGCCCUUCGACACUAGACUUGCUUGCAUGUCAUCGCCAGCUCCCUCCUCCCUGCCAGCGCUGUUGAUCUACUCAUGUGCUUUUUGCUGCGUUGUAGCCGCUGCUCUACUCCCAGCCAGAUCGGCAACAAAAUCUGCGCUGCAGCGUUGCAGCUGCUCUGCUCUCUUCAGGCGUGAUGAAGGACUCCGGGCGGAGGUAGUCCACGCUGGGUCAUGGCUUCCUUCGCAGUCGCCGUUGCCGGAGACCAUCUCCCCGCCCACCUCACCGGUACCAGACGCCAUACCUGCUUGCCCGCCGCCCCGAUCCUAGUUCGCCGCCGGGGAGGGAGAGGCGGUGCCAUGGGAGUCGCCAGCGCUGGUGGAAGAUCGACAUGGGGAGAGAGGCGGGCGGCGGCGCUGAAAUAAAGAUGGGGAUUGGGCCUUUGGUGGGGUGAGUGAGUCGGGGGGAGAGGCGAGGUGCAAGAG